AAUUAAAGCAGCAGAUACCUUUCUACUGAAUCAAGUAGUAGGUUGCACAUCAUCAUAUGAGAAGGUUGAAGCUGUACGAAACUCAGACUCGGAGGCUCAGGCUAUGCUUGCAAGGGUAGCUCUUGGAUUCCUAUCUAUCGGUCAGGCAGUGAAUAUGGCCCCAGAAGUGUGGUCGGACUUGUUUCUUUGAAUGGUAUUGAAGCCAGAGUUUCGUACAUUCAUUUCAGACAUGCUAUCUACUUUAUUUAUUCAUUCAAGUCAUAAAGCACCAGAGACUUACUGGAUUUGUAUAUCUCGACUGAUUCAUAAAGUGGCAGACAACCAUCGUUGAGUUAAUAGAAUGAAACAAGCUU